GAUGAACGCUGGCGGCGUGCCUAAUACAUGCAAGUAGAACGCUGAAGCUUGGUGCUUGCACCGAGCGGAUGAGUUGCGAACGGGUGAGUAACGCGUAGGUAACCUGCCUCUUAGCGGGGGAUAACUAUUGGAAACGAUAGCUAAUACCGCAUAAAAGUCGAUAUCGCAUGAUAUUGAUUUGAAAGGUGCAAUUGCAUCACUAAGAGAUGGACCUGCGUUGUAUUAGCUAGUUGGUGAGGUAACGGCUCACCAAGGCGACGAUACAUAGCCGACCUGAGAGGGUGAUCGGCCACACUGGGACUGAGACACGGCCCAGACUCCUACGGGAGGCAGCAGUAGGGAAUCUUCGGCAAUGGGGGCAACCCUGACCGAGCAACGCCGCGUGAGUGAAGAAGGUUUUCGGAUCGUAAAGCUCUGUUGUAAGAGAAGAACGAGUGUGAGAGUGGAAAGUUCACACUGUGACGGUAACUUACCAGAAAGGGACGGCUAACUACGUGCCAGCAGCCGCGGUAAUACGUAGGUCCCGAGCGUUAUCCGGAUUUAUUGGGCGUAAAGCGAGCGCAGGCGGUUAGAUAAGUCUGAAGUUAAAGGCUGUGGCUUAACCAUAGUACGCUUUGGAAACUGUUUAACUUGAGUGCAGAAGGGGAGAGUGGAAUUCCAUGUGUAGCGGUGAAAUGCGUAGAUAUAUGGAGGAACACCGGUGGCGAAAGCGGCUCUCUGGUCUGUAACUGACGCUGAGGCUCGAAAGCGUGGGGGAGCAAACAGG
rnacentral:rRNA from 1 species